AGAGCAUAUGAAAACAACAUAUCAAUUAAAUGGGAAGAAGCACGACUGAUUAAGACAAACCUCAAUGCCAAUGACUUACCAAUAGCGGAAACAAUACAGAUCCACAAAGGAAGACAAAAUAUAGAAAUAAUAAAUGAUAGACAGUCAGAAUCUAUUCAAAAGCCCUGGAAAUACCUAUUAAUGAAGCUAUGUCACCCCCACCCCCAUUUCUAACAAAAGAGUAUUUAACAAUAAAUCGCACUCCAACGGACUCGUAUGACAAAAAAUUAACAAAGUUACUGAGGGAACUUAUAUAUGUAAUAUACUCGUUUUAUUCAAAUAUUAUUUAUUCACAAAAGAAAAGACAUACAAAUAAUUUACCGCAAAAAAUAUAUUGUAAAAAAGUUACUGUUUUUUAUCACUACACACACACGAAUUUAAAUU
rnacentral:lncRNA from 1 species